rnacentral:tRNA from 1 species
GGGGAUGUGGCUCAGUAGUGGAGCCCUUGCCCAACAAGUGUGAAUCCCUGGGUUCAAUUCCCAGUACCACCC